rnacentral:rRNA from 1 species
GUUUGAUCCUGGCUCAGGACGAACGCUGGCGGCAGGCUUAACACAUGCAAGUCGAACGCUCNCUUCGGAGAGAGUGGCAGACGGGUGAGUAACGCGUGGGAAUCUACCCAGUACUACGGAACAACAGUUAGAAAUGACUGCUAAUACCGUAUACGCCCUCCGGGGGAAAGAUUUAUCGGUAUUGGAUGAGCCCGCGUUUGAUUAGCUAGUUGGUGAGGUAAUGGCUCACCAAGGCGACGAUCAAUAGCUGGUCUGAGAGGAUGAUCAGCCACACUGGGACUGAGACACGGCCCAGACUCCUACGGGAGGCAGCAGUGGGGAAUAUUGGACAAUGGGCGAAAGCCUGAUCCAGCCNUGCCGCGUGUGUGAUGAAGGCCCUAGGGUUGUAAAGCNCUUUCAACGGUGAAGAUAAUGACGGUAACCGUAGNAAGAAGCNCCGGCUAACUUCGUGCCAGCAGCCGCGGUAAUAAGGGCGGAAU